CCUACGGGGGGCAGCAGUGGGGAAUAUUGGACAAUGGGGGGAACCCUGAUCCAGCCAUGCCGCGUGUGUGAAGAAGGCCCUCGGGUUGUAAAGCACUUUCAGUGAGGAAGAACGCCUGGUGGUUAAUACCCAUCAGGAAAGACAUCACUCACAGAAGAAGCACCGGCUAACUCCGUGCCAGCAGCCGCGGUAAUACGGAGGGUGCGAGCGUUAAUCGGAAUUACUGGGCGUAAAGCGCGCGUAGGUGGCUUGAUAAGCCGGUUGUGAAAGCCCCGGGCUCAACCUGGGAACGGCAUCCGGAACUGUCAAGCUAGUGUGCAGAAGAGGAAGGUAGAAUUCUCGGUGUAGCGGUUAAUUGCGUGGAGAUCGGGAGGAAUAACAGUGGCGAAGGCGGCCUUCUGGACUGACACUGCCACUGAGGUGCGGAAGCGUGGGUAGCAAUCAGGAUUAGAUACCCGUGUAGGC
rnacentral:rRNA from 1 species